UACGUAGGCAGCAAGCGUUGUUCGGAGUUACUGGGCGUAAAGAGCGCGCAGGCGGUCGUUCAAGUCGCGUGUGAAAGCCCCCGGCUCAACUGGGGAGGGUCACGCGAUACUGAUCGACUCGAAGGCAGGAGAGGGUAGUGGAAUUCCCGGUGUAGUGGUGAAAUGCGUAGAUAUCGGGAGGAACACCAGUGGCGAAGGCGACUACCUGGCCUGUUCUUGACGCUGAGGCGCGAAAGCUAGGGGAGCAAACGGG
rnacentral:rRNA from 1 species